CACACUCUAAGAUCAAUUUAUUUAGGGUUACAAGGCCAAUCAAACCAUCACACGACAGUUGUUGAAAUCAAUGCUGCAGAUUUUGUCAUACCAUCCUUCUAUCAACAUUUACCUGAUCAAGGUGGCAGAGGCUUGUGAUGAAUGCUUCAGUUCUGUGUUUACUCAAUCCAGUUUGAGAAGUAAAAGAAGUUUUUGUGGGUUGAUUGUUUUGAUCAAGAGCCACAAUAUGUACCCGGGUUUAAAGAAAACAUAUAGCAGCUCUAGAAUGUUGGGACAUUUUGUAGAUAUUGAGAUAACAAGGCUUGAGAAAUCCAUUAUUGUGGAAUGUAAAAUCAGUUUCUGCAUUGAACUUUACAUAAUGUUAGACUAACUUCUUUUUGUAUAAAAUUUGUGGGGUCUAGAAUUUGAGUUGGAUAAGCAGUUUUUAUUCCUUUCCAUAUAUUGUUGGGCUAAACUUGUUGAUGCAGACAUCUUCAUUAGGCCAUUUGUUAGGGCCCAUUUUAUCUUCCAUUUAUUUUAAGACCUUAUGUUUUA